rnacentral:rRNA from 1 species
UACGGAAGGGGCAAGCGUUUUUCGGAAUUACUGGGCGUAAAGCGCACGUAGGCGGAUUGGCAAGUCAGGGGUGAAAUCCCGGGGCUCAACCUCGGAAUUGCCUUUGAUACUGCCAGUCUAGAGUCCGGAAGAGGUGGGUGGAAUUCCUAGUGUAGAGGUGAAAUUCGCAGAGAUUAGGAAGAACACCGGUGGCGAAGGCGGCCCACUGGUCCGGAACUGACGCUGAGGUGCGAAAGCGUGGGGAGCAAACAGG